AAGAUACAAAAUGUUUAAGCUUCUAACUUAAACUUAAGUUUAAUAAAACUUUAUCUUU
rnacentral:tRNA from 1 species